AUUGAACGCUGGCGGCAUGCUUUACACAUGCAAGUCGAACGGCAGCGGGGAGGAGCUUGCUUCUCUGCCGGCGAGUGGCGAACGGGUGAGUAAUACAUCGGAACGUGUCGAGAAGAGGGGGAUAACCACCCGAAAGGGUGGCUAAUACCGCAUAAAUUCUGAGGAAGAAAGCUGGGGACCUAGGAAUAGGCCUAGCGCUUUUUGAGCGGCCGAUGUCGGAUUAGCUAGUUGGUGAGGUAAAGGCUCACCAAGGCGAAGAUCUGUAGCGGGUCUGAGAGGAUGAUCCGCCACACUGGGACUGAGACACGGCCCAGACUCCUACGGGAGGCAGCAGUGGGGAAUUUUGGACAAAGGGGGCAACCCUGAUCCAGCCAUGCCGCGUGUAUGAAGAAGGCCUUAGGGUUGUAAAGUACUUUUGUUAGAGAAGAAAAGUCAGCUGUGAAUAAUGGCUGAUACUGACGGUACCUAAAGAAUAAGCACCGGCUAACUACGUG
rnacentral:rRNA from 1 species